rnacentral:rRNA from 1 species
GGGAAUCUACCCAGAUCUACGGAACAACAGAGGGAAACUUCUGCUAAUACCGUAUACGCCCUACGGGGGAAAGAUUUAUCGGAUUUGGAUGAGCCCGCGUAAGAUUAGCUAGUUGGUGAGGUAAUGGCUCACCAAGGCGACGAUCUUUAGCUGGUCUGAGAGGAUGAUCAGCCACGCUGGGACUGAGACACGGCCCAGACUCCUACGGGAGGCAGCAGUGGGGAAUAUUGGACAAUGGGCGCAAGCCUGAUCCAGCCAUGCCGCGUGAGUGAUGAAGGCCUUAGGGUUGUAAAGCUCUUUCAGUGGGGAAGAUAAUGACGGUACCCACAGAAGAAGCCCCGGCUAACUUCGUGCCAGCAGCCGCGGUAAUACGAAGGGGGCUAGCGUUGUUCGGAUUUACUGGGCGUAAAGCGCACGUAGGCGGUUUGUUAAGUCAGAGGUGAAAUCCUGGAGCUCAACUCCAGAACUGCCUUUGAUACUGGCAAGCUCGAGUCCGGAAGAGGUAAGUGGAACUCCUAGU